rnacentral:rRNA from 1 species
ACACUCCUACGGGAGGCAGCAGUGGGGAAUUUUGGACAAUGGGCGCAAGCCUGAUCCAGCCAUGCCGCGUGCGGGAAGAAGGCCUUCGGGUUGUAAACCGCUUUUGUCAGGGAAGAAAAGGUUCUGGCUAAUACCUGGGACUCAUGACGGUACCUGAAGAAUAAGCACCGGCUAACUACGUGCCAGCAGCCGCGGUAAUACGUAGGGUGCAAGCGUUAAUCGGAAUUACUGGGCGUAAAGCGUGCGCAGGCGGUUAUGCAAGACAGAGGUGAAAUCCCCGGGCUCAACCUGGGAACUGCCUUUGUGACUGCAUGGCUAGAGUACGGUAGAGGGGGAUGGAAUUCCGCGUGUAGCAGUGAAAUGCGUAGAUAUGCGGAGGAACACCGAUGGCGAAGGCAAUCCCCUGGACCUGUACUGACGCUCAUGCACGAAAGCGUGGGGAGCAAACAGGAUUAGAUACCCCUGUAGUCCCAUGAU